AAAAUUGCAUGCAUGACGGUCUGGGAAAUUUGUAAAUAAAAAUAGAUUUUUAUUUAAAUUUUAUUUUAUAAUAAAUUGUAAAAUAUGAAUUUGACAUCAUACAGUCGUAUUUGUAAUGUAUAUAAGCCACGUAAGGUAUUUUAUAUCGGUAUUACGUUACGAUACGAGUGAGAAAUUAUACCAAUGUGUGCUAGUGCAACAGCUAACUGUGUCGGCUGUACCACGUCUUUCUCAAGGUAAUAACCACGAUGUUGGGCGGCAGCGUGCUGUGGUUCCGCCACGGGCUUCGGCUCCACGACAACCCGGCUCUGCUCAGUGCCACUGAAGACAAGAGCGUGCCAUUCUUCCCAAUCUUCAUAUUUGAUGGAGAGUCCGCUGGUACGAAACUUGUCGGGUAUAACCGCAUGCGGUAUCUGCUGGAAGCAUUGGAAGACAUCGACAACCAGUUCAAGAAGUAUGGCGGGAGGUUGAUCAUGGUCAAGGGGACCCCCAAUGUCGUCAUCAGGCGGCUUUGGGAGGAAUUCGGUAUCCGCAAAUUAUGCUUCGAGCAAGAUUGCGAGCCGGUGUGGCGCGCGCGUGACGAGAGCGUGAAGCGGGCGUGCCGUGAGAUCGGCGUGAAGUGCCAGGAACACGUGUCCCACACUCUGUGGGAACCUGACACCGUCAUCCGCGCCAACGGCGGCAUCCCGCCUCUCACUUACCAGAUGUUCUUGCACACCGUAGCCACGAUCGGGGAGCCUCCCCGCCCGGUUGAAGACGCGGCCCUACUCGGCGUCAAGUUUGGCACACUGCCGGAGUGUUUCUAUGAGGAAUUCACCGUUUUUGAUAAGGUGCCGAAGCCUGAAGACCUGGGGGUGUUCCUGGAGAACGAAGACAUCCGCAUGAUAAGAUGGGUGGGCGGGGAGACGGCUGCCUUGAAACAUUUGGAGCAACGACUCGCCGUGGAGUAUGAGACUUUUUGCAGGGGUUCGUACUUGCCAACGCAUUGCAACCCGGAUCUCCUCGGACCGCCGAUAUCGCUGAGCCCUGCCCUGCGAUUCGGCUGCCUCUCCGUUAGAAGGUUCUACUGGGCCGUGCAGGAUCUGUUCCGCAAGGUGCACCAAGGCAGACUAUCGUCCACUCACUUCAUUACCGGUCAACUGAUAUGGCGCGAAUAUUUCUACACUAUGAGUGUGAAUAACCCGAACUACGGCCAGAUGGAAGGGAACCCUAUCUGCUUGGAUAUCCCCUGGAGGAACCCAGAAGGGGAUGAGUUGCAAAGAUGGAAAGAAGGCCGCACCGGGUUUCCGUUCGUGGACGCGGCGAUGAGGCAACUCCGCACUGAGGGCUGGCUUCACCACGCCGUGAGGAACACUGUGGCGUCCUUCCUCACGCGGGGAACCUUGUGGCUGUCCUGGGAACACGGCCUGAACCACUUCCUCAAGUAUUUGCUGGACGCUGAUUGGUCGGUAUGCGCCGGCAACUGGAUGUGGGUGUCGUCGUCCGCGUUCGAAGCGUUGCUGGACUCGGGCGAGUGCGCGUGCCCGGUGAGGCUGGGCCGGCGGCUCGACCCCAGCGGCGAGUACGUGCGCCGCUACGUGCCCGAACUGUCGCGGAUGCCUGUCGACUAUAUCUACGAGCCUUGGAAAGCGCCCAUAGACGUGCAAGAGCGCGCCAACUGCAUUAUCGGGAAGGACUACCCCGGACCCGUGGUCAACCACCUCGUCGCCGCGCAGAAGAACAGGAACGCCAUGCAAAAAUUAAGGCGGUCCAUACCUGGACGGCUUCAGAAGGACAAGUGGUUCGAUGUUGUCGGGUAUAUGGCAACAAGAUGAAAAUUGGCGCCUAAUAAUGCCAUGCUUGCAUGCAAAGAUGACAUGAUUUGGAAGUAAGGAAUUGCGCAACAUUCUCCAAAAGGCGCCGCCCCACUGCUGCCCGUCGAACGAAGAAGAAAUCCGUCAGUUCAUGUGGCUCAAUGAAGAACAACCUAUGAGCACUGUGUGAAGUAAUUGAAAAAUAAAACUGGACUCUUUAAUCCUUCUCUUUUCGUAUGCAUUCGGCAGCUGAUAGUAGCAGCAUUUUCAAGCCGCAUAAACGAAAAUAAUUGAUUUUCCACAUUCGCAGCGAGAAAUUAUGCCUAGCGUGUCGUCACACGCUUGACACGUUUCCGCGAAUAAAAAUCUCGUGUCAGUCGACGUCUCUAGAAAUUUAAACCGUUUUAAACUGAGAAUUGUAGUUGCAAGAUCUGAAUUUUCCUUAAUAGAAAAAUAUAUGUAAUUGUGUAUAAUUUCUUAAAUAAUUUGUACGUUCUUAUUUUAUUUUAUUUAUUUAUUUGGGUCAGCAAACGAUUACACUUAAAAAACUUAUGGAAUAAUGUGCGGAACGCCUAAAGAACUCGAAACUUUUCGUUAUGUUGACCCUUUAUGUGUCACGAAUGUUUUUAUGGAAGUGUGGUUAUAUAUGAAAACAUUGUCGAUGCAUGAAAUUUAUUUGUAUGAAGUAUCUUAUUGUAAUCUGACAAACAUGAUGAACUUGAUGUUUUUCAAACCAAAUAAAACAUUUUACUUAUUAGUAAUUACUAGUGUGUUUACAGAAAGUUUAAAGUUUAGGUAUGUUUACAGAAGAUGCAAUGGUAUCAAUUCAAUGUGUUUGAAGUAAAAUAUGACAUAGCUAUUUAUUACUAUACUAUUGUGUAAGUUUAGCCCUAUUAUUAUAAAAAAAAGUUGAAGCAUUCUUCAUUUGUUUUGUCUCGAUCUGUCAAUGUCAAAUAUAGUAAAGUGCGUUAGUGACAAAACAUACAUAGUUGAAAUAUGUAACUAUUUUAUGUUAUCGUGGGGUCAUUUAUAAAGUAGUAUGCAGAAGAUUUAAGACUAAUUGAUACCGCCAAACACGAUUUGAAAUUGGUAACAAAACACGCUUAGCGUGUUUUCCAUUUUAUGAAUAAAUAGACGUGUAUUAAUUGGCCUUAUUUUUAAUGUGUCUUUAAUAGCUGCAAAGAAAUAUCAACAAUCCAGUGAUUUUGUUUCUUUUUCUUUGUGAUGAAUGCGCUCUGCCAGCGCAGAGCAUGGUUUAAUUGCUUAGGCGUAAUAGCUUAGACCGGUACACACGCUCCUAUUUAAGGGACUACAGAAAGGAAUGCAGAUAUUUAAAGAAAGAGAGUUGGACGACCUUCAUUUUCUAUUAAAUACGUGCAUUUUCUUUAGACCCUAGAUUGCCCUAGCGGCAGGUGUGUGAGUAGCCUGCCUUAGGCGGAUAUUAUGUUUCAAAAAUCAUGAAUGUAAUUUUGUGCCAAAUGUUUUGAAAAAAAUAUAUUCUAUUAUAUAUUUAUGUAUCUGUAUAGGUAUUUGUAUAACCGUUACUGGAAUGAGGUACAUACUGAACUGAUAAAAAUGUUUUAUUAUUAUAUUAUUAGAUUUUUGCUCGAUUCAUAUUUUAUUUUUAUUGUUGUCCUAAGUUACAUGUGUGUAUUAAGAUAUUUUCGGUUGCUAUAUUAAGGGUCGUUAGAUUUAAGAAGUACAGUUUAUAGUAAACAAGGAAUUUGUAGUCGAUUUAUAAAUCUUGUAUCCUUUUGGAUUACACAAAAUUAUUUACAAAAAAAUAUAUGUAGGUAUUAAAAAAAAAUCGAUUACAGGAAAUCUCAUGAUAUUUAUACUAAUUCAUUCAGGGUAAAACUAUUUUUAAAAUGUAUUUUAUGUAAAAGUAGGUGUGUAAACUGAGCGUUGCAACAGUCAACUUUAACGACUUUAAUCUGCGCGCAACGACACGCAAAGUCAAACGGAAACCAAACAGCCCGUAGAGCGCAAGUUAAAGUUAACGUCAAGGUCAAAGUGACUGAUGCAACUGUAACCCUAAAUGGUGAUAUGAAAGUCAUUUCACUUGUGCAUUUAUAGGUGUAUUUAUACGUGUGUUUGGUGGAAAAUAAUUUUUUUUUUAAACCUUUAUAAAAA